CAUGGCAGAGCAGAAGUUGUACUUCAGCAAUAUCAGGGCUUGAAAGAAACUGCGUUUCACAGAUCUUUCUGAGAGCUGUUCCCGGUAAGCUGUAAGAGCACUGUGGUGAGUGCGUUGUUUCUUAGAUUCCCAAAGAGCUGGAAGCAAGCCCGAAUGUGCCUUGUCUCCUUUGGCGGCAAUGAUUCAGCGCUUUAUGUCUUCCGUCUCUUGAGCAAUGUGGGACAUGGCUUAGAGCAGAAGUUCCAAGGUAGUGAGUUCAUGGCCGGAAACAAACUGCAUUCCAGGCCUUUGCAUGAGAGGUUCCCAGUAGGCUGUAAGAGCCCUGUGGAUAGCGAGUUCUUUGUCACCUUGCGAAAGAGAUGGAGGCGAGACGGUCUGUGUUUUGUCUCCUCUUAAGGAAGCCAGGCAGGCCAUUGUGACUUCCAUCUCUAGGGAAAUGUGUUACACGUCAGAGCAGAAGUUCUACCUCAGCAUGAUCAAGGCUGGGAUGAAACUGUGUUUCACAGGCAUUUGGAAGAAAUGUUCCUGGUAGGCUGUAAGAGCACUGUGGAGACCAAGUUGUUUGUUAGCUUCCCAAAGGUCUGGAAGCAAGAAUCUUUGCGGCAUGUCGUCCCUUGAGAUAACAAGGCGAAUCUUUGUGCCUUGGACCUCUAGGGCAAUGUAGGACACGGCAGGGCAGAAGUUCUACUUCAGGGAUAUCACGGCUGGAAAUAAAGUGUGUUUAACAGCCCUUUGUAAGAGAUGUUCCCGGUACGCUAUAACAGCAAGAUGGAGAGCCAGUUGUUUCCUAGCUUCCGAGAGCGGGAAGCAAGACCCUUUGUGGCUUGUCUCCUUUGGAGGCAAUGACUCAUAGCUUUGUCACUUCCACCUCUAGAGCAAUGUAGAACACGGCAGAACAGAAGUCCUACUUCAGCGAGAUCAGGGAUGGAAAGAAUCUGCCUUUCACAGGCCUUUAUAAGAGAUGUUCCCGGUAGGCUGUAAGAGCACUGUGGAGAGGGAGUUGUUUCUUAGCUUCCGAAAGUGCUGCAAUCAAGGCAGUUUGUGGCUUGUCUCAUUUGGCGGCAAUAACUCAGCGCUUUGUGUCCUCCACCUCUAGAGAAAUGUACGACAUGGCUUAGAGCAGAUGUUCCAAGGCAGUGAGAUCAUGGCUGGAAAGAAACUGCAUUACAG
rnacentral:lncRNA from 1 species